rnacentral:lncRNA from 1 species
AUUUUUCAAUUUUUUAAUUCAAUUUCAAUUCACUUCCUGAAUUAAAACAUUUAAUUGACCCCAUCCUUGACUUGAAUUAAAUCCCACUUUAAAAAGCUUAUAUUGUCCUUCAAUAUUGACUUUUGCUUGUGCUGCCCUUUACAAAAAUAAGUUUAUGGCAAAUUUGCUGCAAAUAAAUGUUGCCAGAAGUUUGCAAAUGUUUGCCACCAGUGGUGAAUCUGCAGCAAACCUUAGGCAACAAUAGUAUGUAAUGCCACUAGUGGCAAACAGCUUGCCAGAAGUAGUUCCAAGACCAGUAAGCAUUGAUGACCAGUUAGUGGGAGAAGAAAAAUCUAUUGAAGUGAUCUACCUUCCAAGUUGUACAGUGAGUGUCUAACUUAUUAAACAUUCUAAUAAACUUAAACAUCGUGUUAUCUAAUUGAUGCCUGUUUAGCAGUGUCAUGUUUUAUGGGAUAGAGUGAAACACAUUUUGUUGCAACUUGUCAGCGCCACUGGCUGGCUUUUUGCACAAUUAAUGUGAUAGCUAGCUAGCUAACUAAUGAUUUACCUAAACACUUAACGUUAUAUUUUUAGGUAAAGACUUGCUGUCUUGUAAUAACAAAUGUCAAUAUGCUAGCGUCACUGUUCAGUACCAUGUUAGCUAGCAUAACAGCUAAGUUAAAGUAGCAACAAGAAAUAUGAGCUGACUUGACAUCAGAGCAAAACUUCACUCUUGCAGAUGGAUACCCUUCCCCUACCCGUCGUGUUGGAAGAGGCUGCAUUGGGAAGAGGAUGCAUCAACACCCUGGAAAUAUGUUUGUGGUGCAUUCACUCAUAACAGUUGUUUUUUUUGCGAUAAAUGAGUGUAAUGUAAUCUUCUUCAAGUUUGAUAAGUGCAUGCAGUUAUUAAGCUUUGGACGAAGGACUUCCACAAGGCCGCCAUCUCCAAAGUUCACUCAAAAAGGCAAUAGUUUUUUUUGUGUGUAUAUUAUUAUUUUUUCACUUCCAUUGGUUGAAAGCUAAUUUCUCAUCAGUAAUCACUUAGUUCAUGAACAUAAACAUCCUAAGGUUAAAAUCCCCAUAACCCAUAGUGUUCACAUUUCUCUCAUGUAAAUAUUGUAGCUACAUAAAAAUAUGAAAUAAACUAUUUAUUUGGGGAA